UCAAGGUUGCGGGGUGACAGAGGGUAGGGUCAGGAUAAGCAAAUUGCACAAUUGUAAAAUGCUCAGUGGGCUUUGAAGUCUUAUUUUAGAAUGACUUGAAUUUUAAAUU